rnacentral:tRNA from 1 species
GCCGGGGUGGUGGAAUUGGUAGACACGCAAGUUUCAGAUACUUGUGGAGAAUAACUCCAUGGAGGUUCAAGUCCUCUCCUCGGCA